UCGGGGGACGAGGCCCUUUCUGCAGGGCCCGGGGCGCUGGCACCUCCCGCGCUGCCCCUUCGUCCGCCCCUGGUAGCAGCAGCCUGACCCGGGGGGCCCCGGAGGGGUGUCCCGGCCCGCGUGGGUUCUGUCAGCGGUCUGUCGGAAGACCUCAUCGCCCGUGAUGAGCCGCUGUCAAAAGGCCCAGUCCUCUCUUCACUCCUUCCGCAGAGCCCUGCUUUUCCUGCGUGAACAUCAUUCUUGCCUUGUAACGAUUCAAAUAAAAAACAUCUUUCACAUCAGCGCUGGGCAAACUUCUUUUCACGUGCUGGCGCUUGUGCAUCCCAUGCUCCAAGGCCUUUUUGACGUAGAUAACUCUUAUCUAAAGUAGCUCAGGAUUAUGCUUCAGGAACCAAAACAUUAGACAUUGCAAUCUUGCCUUUUGGGGGGCUGUGGAGUAAACUGUGGCACUCCAGAAGUAUGGAAACCCAAAAGCCAUUUGUCCAAAGCUAAAAGCGUAGAUGCUUACAUUUCCAUCAGGCAUGCGUAUCUUUUUAUAUAUUUCUGCUUAGAAUGUUUUUAAUGGAAAGAAUAUUAGUCCUAUGUUUUGAUUCUUUUAUUUCAUGAAUAGUGACAGCAUUGCACUUGGAAGUUUCCCAUACUUUGUCAGCAAACAGUUAUGCGAUACGUCUUUCCAAAGGGUCUUAGUGUAAUUAUUCUUUCAGGUGUCUGGUGGGGUUUUUUUAGAGCAAUUAAGGCCAUGAAGCAUUUCUUUUUUUGACUGUUGGAUUGAGCAAUACCCACGCUCUUCUGGGCUUUCACCUGAUGUUCCUCUCUGUCCUGGCACGACUGUUUUUGUAGCGAUAUGUUGAACUUGGCUGGGAAUUGAUCUGGCUGCAGAAGCCUUCUCUCAAUAAAAGGGUGGUUUACCCUGAUGAAGUUCAUGUUAAAAUGUCUGCAAGGAGCAGUUGUGGGGACACAGAGCAGGGACUUGGGAGGGGGAAAGAAGCAGCUGGGUGGUUUCUGUGCCGGCAUAAGCAGCUCUUCUGUCAAACCUGAAACUCACUUGCAGCACUUGGUUUACUUGAACUGGACAGGACUCAUAAGAAAAACACAACAUUUGGAUUGAAACAACAAGAAACAAUGACAUUUUGCCCAAGAUAUUUCUAAAUGGUAAUUCUAGAAGCUAUGGACAUACUCUUUAGAAUAAGAGGAGGCUUGGAUCUUGCAUUUCAGCUAGCAACUACUGAUGAGGCGUCAACAAAAAAGGCCUUAGGAUAUGUUUUCAGUGAUCUUGCAAACAAACUGUCCUCAGAUGUUCUCGUAUUAAGAAUUUGCCACAGUUCAGUCUAUGUGUGGCCUAACAAUGGUACGAACACUGUUCCAGAGCUGACUGAUGAUUCUGCUUGUAAGGAGAUAAGACGAUUUAUACAGUUUGAUCAAGAUGAUGAGACCAAACGAAAGCUUGGCAAAAAAAAGGAUAAAAAGUUACAAGAUACGCAGCAGAUAGUCAAUAUAGACCUCAUGUUGGAAAUGACGUCUUCGUUAGCUGCUUUGGCUCCAGUCAUUGAAAGGGAAAAUAAGGAGCACCACUACAUUAAUAUGACAUUACCCGUUGAUGUUGUUGUAUCUGUUUCUCCAGAAGAAACAUGGGGAAAGGUACAAAAUCUCCUAGUGAAAGCAAUUCACAGGCAAUUAGCUGACAUGGAAAGAUGUAUCAUGAAAUAUAUGAAGGGAACAUCAAUUGUUGUACCAGAACAAUUUCAUUUCAUGUUACCAGGAAAAAAUAAUCUUGUAACAAUCUCGUAUCCUACAGGUAUUUCAGAUGAUCAAUUGGAAAGUUACAGAAAGGAAUUACAUGGGUUAUUCAACCUGCCUUGCGACAGACCAUAUUUCAAGAGAGCAAAUGCUUAUCAUUUUCCAGAUGAACCGUACAAAGAUGGAUAUCUCAGAAAUCCACAUUUACAUCUUAAUUCACCUGGUACAGAGUCCGGUAUGGUUUAUUUAGUACACGGUGUAUAUAGUUAUCACCACUACAUGCAGGAUCGGUUCGAUGACAGCGGCUGGGGCUGUGCCUAUCGGUCUUUGCAGACAAUCUGUUCCUGGUUCAAGCACCAAGGUUACAUCGAUACACCUAUACCAACACACAAGGAAAUUCAACAGGCACUGGUUGAUGCUGGAGACAAACCUGCAGCAUUUGUUGGGUCACGGCAGUGGAUCGGUUCAAUCGAGGUACAGCUUGUUUUGAAUCAGCUUUUUGGAAUAACAUCAAAAAUAUUAUUUGUCAGAGCUUAUAUUUGCAGAUGGUCCACCUAUUACUUAUAGCAGCUGUGACAGGCCUUGCCAGUAUGAAGGUUUUUAUUCCUGCACCUAAGAAUAUCGAACAGAUUCCUUUGUGAACUGGGUAGAAUCGCUCAUUGUGCUGCUACAAGGGAGCACCAGUGUUUUCCAGGAUUAUGAAAAGCCAACAUCACUGCCAGGCUGAGAAGAAGUGUCGUGCAUCUUUUUCAGCUGGUCACUGGCAGUGGAUAGCAUUUUUGUCUUGGGCUUAUUUCCAGCUAGCACCUCUUAACUCUUCAUGAAAAUAAGACUUCACAGCCGCACCAGCAGCGCUAGCACUGAAUCCAUUAUUGUAAACGCACCGUUUCCCAGAGUUCCAGUCUUGUAUUCUGUCUGCAUCUAGUCCAUCUCUCCAGUAACUUGAGAAGCAGGCACACAGGCUUUCUGUGGGGUUUUAAAAGGUUAACCACUAUAUGAAGAAACGUAAAGAUAUUAAAAAUAUCCGUAUUAAUUUCCAUGCCUAGCUUCUGUCACCACUUUUGGGAGUACCGUCAGUUUUCGAAGGGGAAUAUGAGCCUCUGUCAGACAUGUGUCUUCGGCUCUGAAUCCUGGAGUACGUACACAUACUGUGUGUGCGUGCCUUUCUUGUCCACGUAGGCUUCUCUUGUCCGUGGCUGGUCCCCACAGUUGAAAAGGAAAGCAGGGAGAUGAUGGCAAGGCUAAGUUCAGUGUUGCUUUGAGCAGUUUACUGAUGUUAUUUGAGAUUCAGGGGUUUUUUUAAAGCCAGCUUGGGUUUGAGUACUGUGAUUGCUCGUGCACUGGCAGUGGAAACCUCUCUUAAGAGACGUCAUUACAAACACUUUAUUUUUGUUAUGUUUGUGAUGAAGUUCUGUUACUUCAGGGUCCCCCUUGCUGACAGAUACAGCUAGUCUGUUUUUCAGCCAGCUGGGGGGAGCUACUGGAGCUGUCCCUGCUGUGGGAGACAAGCCACUGGCACCUUACAGAACCUGGGUGAUUCCAGGUGCUCCAGGGGCAGCUGGGCUCACAGCAUUUUCAUUGCUCCAGCUGGAAUCUGUAAGUUGUAUUAAACAGUUUUUCCCGGUUGUCCCGGGAUGUUUACAUGGAAAAACUCUGAGCUGCUUUCUAAUCAGUUACCUAUGCGGUUAACGAGUAUAAUGGAUAAUUAGAUAAUUAAGCCUCGUGAGGAGGACAAAUCUAUUGCUGUUUUUCUUACCUAGCCAGGGUUCUGAACUAGCGUUGCAGGGAAGAGAGCUUGCUAAUCAUUUCAAGACGGAAGGAACUCCAGUUAUGAUUGGUGGAGGUGUUUUGGCUCACAC